rnacentral:rRNA from 1 species
AGCAGUAGCCACGGUAAUACGGAGGGUGCAAGCGUUAUCCGGAUUUAUUGGGUUUAAAGGGUCCGUAGGCGGAUCUGUAAGUCAGUGGUGAAAUCUCACAGCUUAACUGUGAAACUGCCAUUGAUACUGCAGGUCUUGAGUAAAUUUGAAGUGGCUGGAAUAAGUAGUGUAGCGGUGAAAUGCAUAGAUAUUACUUAGAACACCAAUUGCGAAGGCAGGUCACUAAGAUUUAACUGACGCUGAUGGACGAAAGCGUGGGGAGCGAACAGGAUUAGAUACCCGGGUAGUCCCUGUCUCUUAUAC